rnacentral:tRNA from 1 species
GCACUUGUAGUUCAGCGUUAGAACGUCGGUCUUGUAAACCGUAGGACGGAGGUUAAAUUCCUCCCUGAUGCU